rnacentral:rRNA from 1 species
UCACCAGGGAAGAUAAUGACGGUACCUGGAGAAGAAGCCCGGCUAACUCCGUGCCAGCAGCCGCGGUAAUACGGAGGGGGCUAGCGUUGUUCGGAAUUACUGGGCGUAAAGCGCGCGUAGGCGGCUUUUCAAGUCAGGGGUGAAAUCCCGGGGCUCAACCCCGGAACUGCCCUUGAAACUGGAUGGCUAGAAUACUGGAGAGGUGAGUGGAAUUCCGAGUGUAGAGGUGAAAUUCGUAGAUAU